CAGCCGCCGCGGGAAUACGGAGGGAGCUAGCGUUGUUCGGAAUUACUGGGCGUAAAGCGCACGUAGGCGGUUAUUCAAGUCAGAGGUGAAAGCCCGGGGCUCAACCCCGGAACUGCCUUUGAAACUAGAUGACUGGAAUCUUGGAGAGGUCAGUGGAAUUCCGAGUGUAGAGGUGAAAUUCGUAGAUAUUCGGAAGAACACCAGUGGCGAAGGCGACUGACUGGACAAGUAUUGACGCUGAGGUGCGAAAGCGUGGGGAGCAAACAGGAUUAGAUACCCCUGUAGUCCCUGUCUCUUAUAC
rnacentral:rRNA from 1 species